UACUGUCAAUCAGUUUUAAGCAGUGGUUUGUAUAUGGAAAUGGGCUGUGUCAGCCAUGGUCGAUCUGGCCUAAAAAGUUUUGAGUUGUACCCAGUUCGACCUGAAAGUUGCAGUUGGUAUGGUUUGAGCGACUAAUAAGCUGGACUCUCUCCAUCCUCAAAAUUUUCCUUCACGUUCUCGCUUCCAAGCCGAGAUUCCAAGACCCAUCUUCGUCUCUGCCCGUGUUUCUUCCAUUUUGAUUGAGAACCCAAUUGCUACUUGCGCGCCAUUUUUACUUCAUGAACAAACACCAGUUCUGCAACGCAUCAGGAUUUUCAAAAAUGAGAAUUUGAAAUUGUUUUCAUCUACCUGUUUUCUACCCACAUCAGUUACACUACACGUUAUUCUGCCAUUUUCAACUGGAGUUUCAGUCAUGGCUGCCGGGUACUUUUUUAUUCCUUCUCCAUUUCUCUUCAUUUGUUUCGUCGUCCAGGUGUUCGUUAAUUAUUUGUUCAGGUUUGGUUUCAGAAGAAAAUUGCAAGAAGAUUUUUCGUAUUUAUUUACAGUGUCCUUCUGUAUGGUGGUCUUGGUUUCACGCGGGCAUUGAGUUGGUUUAUGUAUAUGUUAAAUCUGUAUACGCUGACUGCUCCUUCUUUUCUGGGCUCUGGAGGAUCCUGUGCUUGUUUUUCCAUCCGAAUUGAUGUUCUACUUUUCAUGAUGUUUUUACUGCUGAAAUGUCCUGUUGUGAUAUUCUCUUUUAGGGCCUUUUGGGAUUUUAAUAUGAUACUUACAAUGAUGACUUUAUAUGACAUAUAAAUUUAUUUUGAGGUGAUUUAAUGAAUCUGAUAGCUAAAUAAACUACCAUUCAUCUCAUCCUUAGUUCAUAUUGAUUUUCUGGGUAACUUCUUUUUGCAUAUUCCUUUGUAACUUAAACAAAGAGCUCAAUAGCUUUCCAACUUUAUAUACAAAUAAUUUUUAAUUGUUUGGAUCUGCAAUUUUUACCUGUAAGGCGUUGAGAGAACAUGCUUUUUAAUUACUUUUUACUUAAUCCUUAUUAACCUUCUAUGUUAGGAUCAAAUCAAUUUUUAUAAAAACUACUGGAGUUAAUAGUAGUGUUUAUUACAGUGAGGUUGUUGUUUCCUCCUGGUGUAGUAUUGUGGCAAUUGUUCUUAUACUGGAUUUUUUAGAGAGAGUGUCUGUGUGUGUGUGAGAGAGAGAGAGAGAGUAAUAAAUUUCAUCAACUAUCUUUUUAUAUGAUAUAGGAGGUCAUAAGAUUUUCGUAAUGGCCACCUUCUUAAUCAACUUGACAAAAAAUUUUGUUUAUUAAUGAAGUAGCAUAUGGAGGCCACUGAUUCUCUUUAGUCCUGAUAAAACACAAGGAGAUGGUGAAACUCAAAGCUCCCCUAACUUUAUUAUGUUCUUCUUGCCUUUAUCCAUCUCAGUUGAUGCUACAAAACAUAAAAGGAAAAUAACAAUGUCAAUCAGUCUCCAAUAUUUUUGAAGCAUGUGUGUAUCUGUGUGCACGUGUAGAGGUGUAUAAAUAAGUAGUUGAACUCACUUUUGACAGUUGGUGUUCUUUGAGAUAGGAAUAUUCAUUUGAACACCGCACUUUGUAGGGAGAGAAGAGGC
rnacentral:lncRNA from 1 species